rnacentral:rRNA from 1 species
UACAGAGGUCCCAAGCGUUGUUCGGAUUCAUUGGGCGUAAAGGGUGCGUAGGCGGCGCGGUAAGUCGGGUGUGAAAUCUUGGAGCUUAACUCCGAAACUGCAUUCGAUACUGCCGUGCUUGAGGACUGGAGAGGAGACUGGAAUUUACGGUGUAGCGGUGAAAUGCGUAGAUAUCGUAAGGAAGACCAGUGGCGAAGGCGGGUCUCUGGGCCGAUACUGACGCUGAGGAGCGAAGGCCAGGGGAGCAAACGGG